rnacentral:lncRNA from 1 species
CAGAGUUAUUAAUACUGCAAACGAAUGCUGAAUUGAUGAUCAGCAAUACCACAUAUUGCUUUCCACGAGUUUUUCUCCACCAUUUCUGGGCUGGUGUUGUGAAGCGCUGGAGCCGUAGGCAGGAGGCCCUGGGGCUCUGGUCAGCCAUCUCUCCAGUGUCAGGGAAGAGAGGGCAGAUGGAGAGCAGGCCGGGCCAAGGCAGCCAAGGGCGUGUGCAGGGCAGCGGCAGCCAGGAAGAGAGACUAUACAGUCAGUAUUACUCCUGCUAAAUACCCAGAGGGACCACAACCAACUUUCCUGGUCUGUGUUCCAUUAUACAAAAGAGGACUACAAAGAAAAGGACUGUGGAAAUAAAUGCAUACUCUUCUUUUGAAAUUCGUGAGGAAUGUUCAUGAUUUUUAACCAUAAGACAGCAAAAUGGGAUAAGGUGAUAAACAAUGCAAACGGUACUGUAACUGUUAAAGAAAAAAAGGAAGAAAUGCAAAGAAAAAAGAAAGUCAUCACUAGGAAUCUUAAAUUCUGAAAAAAAGAGUUCAAAAAGAUCUAAUGGGGAGAAGAGAACUUUCCAACUGUUGUCAUCCUGCUAUUGUAACCUGAGCCCCUCCCAAGUUUUCAGACUCCAAAAUCAGAUCUAAUUAAAAGAAAAUGGAAAAGGACUUGGAGCCUUUUCAGCUCUGGAUAACAUGCAGACAAAUAAAUUAAAAAGGGGGAGAAGUGGAACUAACCCAAUAAUCCGUGAAAAGCUCAUUUCCCUCCCGGCCGCCACUGAUGCAACACUGUCCUUCCUCCCUCCCAUCCUCUGGUUCAGGGGCAGUGAGUGGAGAAAUUGGCUAACAAGAUCAGAAAAUUUAAUUACAGCUCUGCCGUCCCCUUCCGAGAAGUUGGCUGUCACACUUCCCUUUUGCAGAUCGUCGUCUGAAUGUGCUGUCUCUGAUGAGCUUCCCCUCCGCCCCAGUCUCACUCAUCUCCCGACAUCGGCUCGGGACGGUGGACACAGACACUUUAAUUUGGGGGUUUAGAAGGAUUAGAUAUGAAGAUUAAAAGGAGCAGUUGGAGAAGAGAAUGUCGUUAUCCUCUCAUUUCCUUUGGUCUGCCUGAGCAACUUUGCCCAGUCUUAUCCCAAGAGAAGUACUGUGGGAGCCCCAAAGGCUUAGCAUCCUCGCAUUCCAGACCUAAAGAAGCCCUGAGACCCUGUAGAAGGAGCAGACACACCUGCAUUCAAGUGUCUGUUUUGCAUGCUGACUCAGAGAUACAGGAACGGCUUCCUUGAGCAGUGUUUCUAGCAAGAUUCUGAAAUGCUUUGGGCUCAAAACAAACACACGAACAAAAGAAUAAUGUGGUCCAUUAAUGAUUUCUUCCAGGGGGGUAGAAUGCAGAAUGGUGUCAAAAGAACCAAGUGUUUGCCAUUUCUGUUCUAGGGCAGCCAGAGGUUUAUGUCCAAAUCCAGUGUGCAAACCACUGGAGAGUGACAUGGAACAGGUGUCUUCAAAAUUCAAAGUUUAGCCAAUUAAAAAAAGGACUCUUGGUUUGCUUCUCUGUCACUAGGCAAAGCAAGGUAGUCAGACAAACUGUGCAGAGGUUCCCGGCCUUCACGUGACUGAGAUGCUAUUUCUCUUCACAGAAUGUAGUCGGCCCCUAUGUCCUCAGACCACCACAGGUCUCCUCCUAGAUUAGGGCAAGAGACAUAAGCCCAGAAAAGUGACUGUGGUAAUAAGGGGCAGUCUCCUGCUAGUGUGUCAGGGAUCCUUAACUUGGCCCGGUCAAUGCUGCUGGGAAGACAGUGCAGCAGGAGGAAGAGGAGCCAGCCAAGGAAAGACAG